CAUGAAGAAACAAAGCAAGAUAUGUGUCAGGGAACUCUUCAAUGUCGUGCAAUCGCCCUAAUCAAAUUUGCUACAGGUUCUUAUAUUGAGUGGAACAACUGUUAGUGCAAUAACUGACAGUGAAACAAAUUGAUUAGGGUGACGUGGAAUAUAUGAAUAAAAACAGUACUAGAAGUCAGUACGGUGAAACAAUGUUAAAACAAUGCAAGUACGCAAAAAUCUGGCUGAAUCAAUUUAAGAAAUCAACAAAUUGCCACCUAAAAUGUAAAUACCUAGAAUUCGUAAUUCUGGCUUUCUCUGUUCCAUAAAUACUCUACAUGACUUCUGCCAAUGAAGUGAAAUUGCCUAUACAGUUUUGCUCGCCAAAAACGACUGUGUGUGCGCAUGUUCAUGUAUCAUAGAGCCUGAACUAUUUUUCAUAUGCGACUUACGAAUUCAAUAACUUUUUUAAACGUGCGUUUCUGCAAUAGAUUUUAAUACUACCCUUCUAAAUCAAUGUGUGUGUGCGCGCGCACACACAAAAGAAAACGAGGAAGUCCUAGCCAUUGGGGGAUUUCAUAGUGAACAAGCCUUCAAAACUCAGGAUAUUUGUCUUAAUCAUUGGUUCGGACUGGUCGGGAGUUGGAACAACUAAAAUCGUCUGUCAACCUGAUGCCAACGAGCCAAUUGCAAACCGAAAACUUCACGAAGGAAAUAUGGUGACGGACGUACUGAAGGUGUUUUUUAUCGGUACAGCGUUUACAGUCCUCGCCGCGUUGAUGGCGAUGGUGGAUUCAUUUGGUGGUCUUCUCUAUGUCCAAGACGCAGAACGGGUAGACCACCUACAGUUUGGCAGCAAUACUGACGUAAGGUUGUCCUCAACUCAACUAAGAGGUUCAGCGGUUACCAAGCGCAUUGGAUCAAGAUGAGCAGCAUGUGUCAAUUGGACGAAAAUAUAACUGACUUAUUGACUUGGGUAGCCAGUUGACGACCAUUUCGCCAUUUGAACACUAUCGCUUAUUGAAGAGAGUGGAAACAAUACAAAAUAACAAGCCUUAUUAAUGCAUACAUAUUUUAGCCGAAUUCAAGCGCUUGAAUUAAGCAAGACCAAACAAAAGUCAGUGAUUCUGUUCUACAGUGGUUGACUGAGGCAAGCAAUAACAUCCAUAACAUUAUUAAGAAACGUUUUAAAUUUCAGUUAGAUUAUCUUGAAACUUUCUUUUGUAUACCAAACUUUCAUCAAGGUUUUCCAUGAUUUAUAAUGGUUCUCUUUUAUCUAUAUCAUCCAUAACGGUUAUGGACAGUUCAUCUUCUGAAACUUGACACCACGUCUUUGCACUGGGACGUUUUUUAUUUUAUAUUGUUUUUUUUAACUUUUGCUGAAGCAAUCUUGCAUAACUUACAAACGAUGUUCGUUAAUUAUUAUUGGAAUAUGCUGAAAUGAAUGUAUAUACAUUUUUAGAUAGAAAAUUGUGUGUUUAUCAACCAUCGGAGUGUACUCUAAGGCAUUUCCUUCUCUAAAAUGAAAGCCCCACGUGGAAUUUCACUUACUCAAUCAUACUUGUGGAGGCUUAUCUGCCCUGAAUGCAAGUUAGCCCCGCCUUCUAUAUUGGCAGGUCUCCUUUCAUUUUCAACUCCACAAAUAUAUUUCAUCAUUGUUUUGGUGCAGUGUAUUAGAAACUAUAACUACUAACUUUUUCUACAUUCUACUGGUGAAGGUUGGGUUAUGAUUCCAUGUGUAAUAUUCUGGUUGUCUGUCAUUAUGCAAAUCUGAAAUGCACUGCCUUCUGUUGUCCUAAUAAAAACUUUCCAAAUGA